AUACUCUCCUGGCAGGAGAGACACCAUGAUCACGGAGGUGGUUUUCCCAGGGCGAGGCGUAUCCAUUGCACUCCGGAUGUGCUGACUCUUGCCAUUUCCCCAAAUGUGGGAAACUCGACCACGUAAUUUGUGCUAGUGGGGCCCUGUGUACGUGCUCUCCCUUG